AGUUGUCCCUCCUUAAGGUGCGCCCUUUCAGGAGGAGCCGGCGCCUUCCCCUUUAAGUACAGGGGAAGGCUGGAUCUGACCUGAGGCAGGUGGGGAACUGCCUCCCCCCCCCCCAGCUGGCGCCUGGGCUUCUGCUGGGCGCAUUUCCACCGCGGAGGUUGUUCCCCAAGAGAGACUGGUCUUUAAUUUUCCUGUGGCAUUGACUGCUGACUACCAGAAGUGUGAGGUAUGAGGGUACACAAUCUCUGCCAAGGGUGCAGUCAAGCGCACACAUUUUCAAGUAGGAGAAGCAGGGUCCCAAAGGCCACACAGCACUUCUGGCUGGAUGGGCCCCAACAAGUAUUCUUCAGAAGUCCAAGAUCGUGAAAAAUAAGUAAAACUGAAGAACUGUUCAAAAUUA